CUCGGGUGGCCUAGUGGUUAGAGCGUCCGCCUCGGAUGCGAGAGGUCGUGGGUUCAAUCGAUCCACGGUAGAGU